rnacentral:rRNA from 1 species
AGUGGCGGACGGGUGAGUAACGCGUAAGAAUCUAACUUCAGGACGGGGACAACAGUGGGAAACGACUGCUAAUACCCGAUGUGCCGCGAGGUGAAACCUAAUUGGCCUGAAGAAGAGCUUGCGUCUGAUUAGCUAGUUGGUGGGGUAAGAGCCUACCAAGGCGACGAUCAGUAGCUGGUCUGAGAGGAUGAGCAGCCACACUGGGACUGAGACACGGCCCAGACUCCUACGGGAGGCAGCAGUGGGGAAUUUUCCGCAAUGGGCGAAAGCCUGACGGAGCAACGCCGCGUGAGGGAGGAAGGUCUUUGGAUUGUAAACCUCUUUUCUCAAGGAAGAAGUUCUGACGGUACUUGAGGAAUCAGCCUCGGCUAACUCCGUGCCAGCAGCCGCGGUAAUACGGGGGAGGCAAGCGUUAUCCGGAAUUAUUGGGCGUAAAGCGUCCGCAGGUGGUCAACCAAGUCUGCCGUCAAAUCAGGUUGCUUAACGACCUAAAGGCGGUGGAAACUGGCAGACUAGAGAGCAGUAGGGGUAGCAGGAAUUCCCAGUGUAGCGGUGAAAUGCGUAGAGAUUGGGAAGAACAUCGGUGGCGAAAGCGUGCUACUGGGCUGUAUCUGACACUCAGGGACGAAAGCUAGGGGAGCGAAAGGGAUUAGAUACCCCUGUAGUCCUAGCCGUAAACGAUGGAUACUAGGCGUGGCUU